rnacentral:piRNA from 1 species
UGAGGCCUACUCCAGNGAUGAUACGCUUC